rnacentral:pre_miRNA from 14 species
GGCCAGUUAAAUUUGAAUUUCAGAUAAACCAUGAAAAGCUAUUUUAGUGUAAGUAUGUCUCAUGCAAUAUUUGGGACAUACUUAUACUAAAAUAAUUGUCACUUAUCUGAAAUUCUAAAUGAACUAGAAAUCCUGU